rnacentral:lncRNA from 1 species
GUUAUGUACAUAUCUUGGGGAGAUUUAGAGUAUAAACUCUAAGAUCUUUGGUAUUUAAGUGUCAACAUCGAUCUAUUUAUUGCUGAGCUGACUGUAACUGACUCAAUAACAAAUCUAAUCAUGUAUUGCACUGGAAAAGAAAUAUUCUCAUUAUGUAUUUUCUCCAAAAAAUGGCCUACCAUUGCGUUUGAAUACCUGCUGUAAAUAUCAAUAAUAUGGAGUAAUUACU